rnacentral:rRNA from 1 species
UCAGACUCGCGGCACCGAGCUCAGUAACACGUGGCCAAACUACCCUACAGAGACGGAUACCCUCGGGAAACUGAGGUUAACCCGUCAUACCGAUCUCAGGCUUGAAUCGCAGAGAUCACAAAACGCCCCGGCGCUGUAGGAUGUGGCUGCGGUUGAUUAGGUAGACGGUGGGGUAACGGCCCACCGUGCCCAUAAUCAGUACAGGUUGUGAGAGCAAGAACCUGGAGACGGAAUCUGAGACAAGAUUCCGGGCCCUACGGGGCGCAGCAGGCGCGAAACCUUUACACUGCACGCACGUGCGAUAAGGGGACUCCGAGUGCGAGGGCAUAUCGUCCUCGCUUUCGUGUACCGUAGGGUGGUACACCAACAAGGGCUGGGCAAGACCGGUGCCAGCCGCCGCGGUAAUACCGGCAGCCCGAGUGAUGGCCGAUCUUAUUGGGCCUAAAGCGUCCGUAGCUGGCUGCGCAAGUCCGUCGGGAAAUCCACUCGCCCAACGAGUGGGCGUCCGACGGAAACUGCACAGCUUGGGACCGGAAGGCUCGAAGGGUACGUUCGGGGUAGGAGUGAAAUCCCAUAAUCCCGCACGGACCACCGAUGGCGAAAGCACUUCGAGAAAACGGAUCCGACAGUGAGGGACGAAAGCCAGGGUCUCCAACCGGAUUAGAUACCCGGGUAGUCCUGGCCGUAAACAAUGUUCGCUAGGUAUGACACAGACUACGCGUCUCUGUUGUGCCGUAGGGAAGCCG